CAACCAUGAAUUUUGCAGAAUGGUGCUCCAACUUUAAGUGCAGAGCACAGUACAUGUAUCUGCUCAGAAAGAAGAUGAAAACACAUUUAUGUCAUUUGAUUACAUUGCGGGGAAAAAAUAAAAGAAUAUGGGGAAGCAAAUGAAGCAGGUUGAUUUUAUUCAUGUCAUACGGUUUCUUAUUUUGAUGGAACGAGACUCAAGUCAAUGAUCAUUUUCCCCAGACUAAUUGGAAGAUGUUCCUACUGGCAACUGCACUGACAGCAUUGCUACUCUGCUUUCUAAGCAUGUCCUCUUGAGCAGAAACAUCACCAUCCUUUCAAAGACAGACGAUUAAUGGAGUUAGAUUAACCAUGAGUGAAUCAGCUCCUAAAUAACUACUAAGACAUAGCAAAGGCAAAGAAAAC